GCUGGAAUAAAAACAUAAGACGAGAAGACCCUGCGGAGCUUCAAGCCACACUACCAUCACCGCCCUCCCCCCUUCCAGGGGCCAAAACCAAUUUAAUGGUAGUACUGCUUUUAGUUGGGGCAACUAUGGAGAACAACAAAACCUCCAUGUAAACAGGCCACCCGCCACCAAAAAACAAACCAGUUACUUGGCUAAUUAUUUUGACCCAGCACAGCUGAUCAUCGAACCAAGUUACCCCAGGGAUAACAGCGCCCUCCCCCUCUAGAGUCCAUAUCGCCAGGGGGGUUUACGACCUCGAUGUUGGAUCAGGACACCCAGAUGGUGCAGCCGCUAUCAAUGGUUCGUUUGUUCAACGAUUAAAGUCCUACGUGAU
rnacentral:rRNA from 1 species